GUCGUGGCCGAGUGGUUAAGGCGUUGGACUCGAAAUCCAAUGGGAUCUUCCCGCACAGGUUUAAUGUGUAAAAUUAGCGUAAAUG